AGCUUUGUGCAGUGGCAGUAUAGCAGCCAAUGAUUUUUAUCCGAGUUGUGAUUAUUGCUAAUUGAAAACUCAUUUUAUAG
rnacentral:snRNA from 1 species